UUUCUGUAGGUGAACCUGCGGAAGGAUCAUUACAGAGUUCAUGCCCUCACGGGUAGAUCUCCCACCCUUGAAUAUUUAUACCUUAGUUGCUUUGGCAGGCCGUGGAAACACCAUGGGCUCCGGCUUAUGCGUGCCUGCCAGAGGAAACAAACUCUGUUUUUAGUGAUGUCUGAGUACUAUAUAAUAGUUAAAACUUUCAACAACGGAUCUCUUGGUUCUG
rnacentral:misc_RNA from 1 species